CAGUCGCCGCGGUAAUACGUAGGUGGCAAGCGUUGUCCGGAAUUAUUGGGCGUAAAGGGCUCGCAGGCGGUUUCUUAAGUCUGAUGUGAAAGCCCCCGGCUCAACCGGGGAGGGUCAUUGGAAACUGGGAAACUUGAGUGCAGAAGAGGAGAGUGGAAUUCCACGUGUAGCGGUGAAAUGCGUAGAGAUGUGGAGGAACACCAGUGGCGAAGGCGACUCUCUGGUCUGUAAUUGACGCUGAGGAGCGAAAGCGUGGGGAGCGAACAGGAUUAGAUACCCCAGUAGUCCCUGUCUCUUAUAA
rnacentral:rRNA from 1 species